ACACUUGUGUGGAUAACCGCCAUGUCUGAUCACAAAAAGAAGCAUUUGACCAAGGCCCAAGUUGUCUUGCGUUGUCAUGUCUGUGAGAACCCUCUCCAGGUUCUCCAAAUGUACUGUAAAGUAUGCUGUAAAUAUUUAUGCAAAGCAUGUGUUUCCAAACAUCUGUCCAAUAAACCAAAAAAACAUAACUGUCCUAAACAUUCCUCAAACAUAAUUGAAAAAAUUUGUGAACAAUGUGACUCUCCUAUCUGUGCAAUAUGUGCUUCUUCCAAGCAACAUAACGGUCAUACAUUCGUUUCGAUUUUUGAAAACUAUGAAGAAAAGAAAGAGGUCAUUGAAAAAGAUUUAACAGAGUUGGAGAAAUCACUUUACCCUAUGCAUCAAGAGAUUGCAUCUAACAUUCUUGUUCAGAAGGCUAAUUUGAACGAAAACUCAAAACAAGUGUUAAAAGCAAUCGACAAACAUGGAGAAGAUUUACAUAGAAAAAUAGACACCAUUAUCAAAAAUCUGAAAGCAGAUUUUGAUGAAAUGAACUCCAAACACCUAGCUGUUCUGAAUAAACAGGAAGAUGAAAUCACAAGAAGAAUUUUGGAAAUCAGUCAAAGCAUUGCAAAUUUAAAGAAAAUUAAAUCCAGAGAGUUCAGACUUCCCCCUUCUUUCAAAUCCAGAAAUGCUAUAUUUAGAGAAAUACCGUUUGAUCAAAAUGUCUCUUUACCAAUGUUUAUUCCUAAUAGGAUAAACAAAAAGCAGUUAUACAGUCUGUUUGGUUUCUUAUCGGAUCAUACUACAAAAUAUGCAGGUACUCAGUGUCUUAGACAAGUCAGUCCUCAGAAAGACGAACCUCGAGUCAUUGCAGAAAUAAGGACGGAAUAUAAUGACGCUAACGAAUUGCGCAGCAUUUCUUGUCGGGAUGAUGGGGACGUCUGGACGUGUGGAAGUGACAGCAUAAUGAGACUCUAUAAUCUCCAGGGAGAAUUGAUAAAAUCAAUCCAAACAAUGUCGGGGGAAAUGCCAUUCGCCAUUGUAAUAACAAGAAGUGGAUAUCUUGCUUAUACAGAUAAAAAUGACAGGACUGUGAACAUAGUGAAGAAAACUCGAAUAGAAACAGCGAUCAGACUUCGUGGUUGGAGGCCUCUUGAUUUAUGUAGUACAUCUUCUGAUGGCCUCCUUGUAAUCAUGGAAAGCGAUGAUUAUAAGCAAACGAAAAUUGCGCGUUACUGCGGCUCCACAGAGAAACAAAUAAUUCAAUUCGACGACAAAGGUGAACCUCUCUAUUCACCUAGUGGGUUCUCCAAAAAUAUCAGUGAGAACAUAAACCUAGAUAUCUGUGUGUCAGACUAUAAAGCCCGUGCAGUAGUGGUUGUCAAUCAGGCUGGGAAACUCCGGUUUACCUACACUGGUCCUUCCUAUACAACUGCUAAAGGACCAUUCAAUCCAAAAGGCAUCACUAUAUAUAUAAUAUACAGACAGCAAGGGUUGGAUUUUGACAGCUGACCCAAACAACCGCUGCAUCCACAUCCUGGAUCAGGACGGACAGUUCCUCCGCUACAUUAACAACUGUGAUUUGCAAGAUCCAAGUAGUUUAUCUGUGGACUCUAGAGACAAUCUUUUUGUAGCUCAGUGUAGCACGGGUACAGUGAAGAAAAUCCAAUAUCAUUUUUGAAUAUAUGAAUAUUCUGUGUAUCCACUUAUUAUGAUUUUUUUAUAUGACUAUAUGUUAAAUAAAUAUUUGUACGCU
rnacentral:sRNA from 1 species